UACGAAGGGGGCUAGCGUUGUUCGGAAUUACUGGGCGUAAAGCGUGCGCAGGUGGCUUCCCAAGUCAGUGGUGAAAGCCCGGAGCUCAACUCCGGAAUUGCCAUUGAAACUGUGAAGCUUGAGGACGAGAGAGGUGAGUGGAAUUCCCAGUGUAGAGGUGAAAUUCGUAGAUAUUGGGAAGAACACCGGUGGCGAAGGCGGCUCACUGGCUCGUUUCUGACACUCAGGCACGACAGCGUGGGGAUCAAACAGG
rnacentral:rRNA from 1 species